rnacentral:rRNA from 1 species
UACGUAGGGUGCGAGCGUUAAUCGGAAUUACUGGGCGUAAAGCGUGCGCAGGCGGUUUGUUAAGACAGAUGUGAAAUCCCCGGGCUUAACCUGGGAACUGCAUUUGUGACUGGCAAGCUAGAGUAUGGCAGAGGGGGGGUAGAAUUCCACGUGUAGCAGUGAAAUGCGUAGAGAUGUGGAGGAAUACCGAUGGCGAAGGCAGCCCCCUGGGCCCAAUACUGACGCUCAUGCACGAAAGCGUGGGGAGCAAACAGG